GAAACUGUGAUCCUGCUCAUCAAGCAGAUCCUGGGUGAGGACUCUGCUGUGGGAUGCUGAGCUGAAAGGGGCCCUGUCUGAGCAAACACGCCAAAGGGAACGAGACUUUCAACACGAGACAGAUUUUUGGAGUGUGAAGCAAGCUGGAAGACUCCUGGGCUCCAGACCUGUGGCCAGCAGGGCCCCUUCCUGGGUGAGAUGACUUUGAGUUACAGGUGGGGCCUUCUAGAAGAUGGCGAGCAUAAAAAGCCACAGACCCCAAGGCCCUCUCCAAGGAGACAUGGCUAGAAGUAAUGGAUUCUGAGGCUGUGAAGGAUAGCAGAGUCAUCAAUGGGCCUUUCUCAGAAGAAGUUGAAUAAAAAUUUUUUGAAUGAAUGAACACCUGG